rnacentral:rRNA from 1 species
CACGUAGGUGGCUAGCGUUAUUCGGAUUUACUGGGCGUAAAGGGUCCGCAGGGGGCCUGGCAAGUCUGCCGUGAAAGGCCGGGGCUCAACCCCGGCACUGCGGUGGAAACAGCCGGGCUGGAGUCAGUGAGGGGCAGACGGAACACCUGGUGUAGCGGUGGAAUGCGUGGAUAUCAGGUGGAACACCUAUGGCGAAGGCGGUCUGCUGGCACAUGACUGACCCUCAUGGACGAAAGCGUGGGUAGCAAACAGGAUUAGAUACCCUGGUAGUCCACGCCGUAAACUUUGUGAACUAGAUGUGCCCGGGCUGGCCCCGGGCGUGUCCAAGCCAACGCGAUAAGUUCACCGCCUGGGGACUACGGCCGCAAGGCUAAAACUCAAAGGAAUUGACGGGGGCCCGCACAAGCGGUGGAGCAUGUUGCUUAAUUCGAGGCAACGCGAAGAACCUUACCCGGGUUUGACAUGCUUCCGGCCGGCGUUGAAAGACGCCCUUCCCUCGGGACGGAAGCACAGAUGCUGCAUGGCU